rnacentral:rRNA from 1 species
UGCAAGUCGAGCGAACAGACGAGGAGCUUGCUCCUCUGACGUUAGCGGCGGACGGGUGAGUAACACGUGGAUAACCUACCUAUAAGACUGGGAUAACUUCGGGAAACCGGAGCUAAUACCGGAUAAUAUAUUGAACCGCAUGGUUCAAUAGUGAAAGACGGUUUUGCUGUCACUUAUAGAUGGAUCCGCGCCGCAUUAGCUAGUUGGUAAGGUAACGGCUUACCAAGGCAACGAUGCGUAGCCGACCUGAGAGGGUGAUCGGCCACACUGGAACUGAGACACGGUCCAGACUCCUACGGGAGGCAGCAGUAGGGAAUCUUCCGCAAUGGGCGAAAGCCUGACGGAGCAACGCCGCGUGAGUGAUGAAGGUCUUCGGAUCGUAAAACUCUGUUAUUAGGGAAGAACAAAUGUGUAAGUAACUAUGCACGUCUUGACGGUACCUAAUCAGAAAGCCACGGCUAACUACGUGCCAGCAGCCGCGGUAAUACGUAGGUGGCAAGCGUUAUCCGGAAUUAUUGGGCGUAAAGCGCGCGUAGGCGGUUUUUUAAGUCUGAUGUGAAAGCCCACGGCUCAACCGUGGAGGGUCAUUGGAAACUGGAAAACUUGAAUGCAGAAGAGGAAAGUGGAAUUCCAUGUGUAGCGGUGAAAUGCGCAGAGAUAUGGAGGAACACCAGUGGCGAAGGCGACUUUCUGGUCUGUAACUGACGCUGAUGUGCGAAAGCGUGGGGAUCAAACAGGAUUAGAUACCCUGGUAGUCCACGCCGUAAACGAUGAGUGCUAAGUGUUAGGGGGUUUCCGCCCCUUAGUGCUGCAGCUAACGCAUUAAGCACUCCGCU